UUUUUUUUUCUAAAAGGAAUAGGGAAACAGAGAUGCAUAAAAUAAAUAACUAAACUCCAUCAGUGAAAAUCCAAAAGAAAGUAAACACAAGGAUCACCGUCCCAUAGUAAAAGCAUAACCUACAUGAACUUAAUCGAA